GCUCAGUAACACGUGGAGAACGUGCCCUUAAGUGGGGGAUAAUCUCGGGAAAUUGAGGAUAAUACCCCAUAGAUCAUGGGAUCUGGAAUGACCCAUGGCUGAAAGUUCCGGCGCUUAAGGAUCGCUCUGCGGCCUAUCAGGUAGUAGUGGGUGUAACGUACCCCCUAGCCUACGACGGGUAUGGGCCUUGAGAGAGGGAGCCCAGAGUUGGAUUCUGAGACACGAAUCCAGGCCCUACGGGGCGCAGCAGUCGCGAAAACUUCACACUGGGGGGAACCCCGAUGAGGGAAUUCCUAGUGCUUGGGCAUUUGUCCAAGCUUUUCCCGAGCGUAGAUAACUCGGGGAAUAAGGGCUGGGUAAGACGGGUGCCAGCCGCCGCGGUAAUACCUGCAGCCCGAGUGGUGGUCGAUUUUAUUGAGUCUAAAGCGUUCGUAGCCGGUCCGUUAAAUCCUUGGGUAAAUCGGGAAGCUCAACUUUCCAACUUCCGAGGAGACUGGCGGACUUGGGACCGGGAGAGGCCAGAGGUACUUCUGGGGUAGGGGUAAAAUCCUGUAAUCCUAGAAGGACCACCGGUGGCGAAGGAGUCUGGCUAGAACGGAUCCGACGGUGAGGGACGAAGCCCUGGGUCGCAAACGGGAUUAGAUACCCCGGUAGUCCAGGGUGUAAACGCUGCCGACUUGGUGUUGGGGGCCCUUCGGGGGAACUCAGUGCCGGAGAGAAGUUGUUAAGUCGGCCACUUGGGGAGUACGUCCGCAAGGAUGAAACUUAAAGGAAUUGGCGGGGGAGCAC
rnacentral:rRNA from 1 species